GCAUGCAUUGCAUAAAUUCCAUCAAAGGGGACUGAGAAGAAGUGCUUAGAACGAUAGGAAACAAAUUAAGAGAAGCUAAUAUCAUCAAAUUGCAGAAAGAAAAGUAUCAAAAUAAGAGAAUUGACAGCAUCAAAGGCUACAAAGAGAAGCAGAUGUUGUCACUCUCAUUCUAAACAGGAGGAAACUGAGGCAAAAAGAAGUCACAUGAAUUGCCCAGAGUCACAUAUCUAUAAGGAUCUGAGGCCAGAUUUGGACUUAUGUCUUCCUUACUCAAGGCUGGACCUUCUUUCUAUCCACUGGCCCACAUAUCCAAGGAAAUGAAAUGAAGUAGAGGUUAAAAAGAGAAGGCUGAGUUGAAUGAUUUGUUCAAAAAGACAUUCUAAAUAAAGGAGCAGUGACUAGAAUCUUUUCCUUCUAUGUAAAAUGUCAAUGAUGCUUCAAAAACUGUGAACUGAUAUUCUGGUAUGCCUUCACUUUAGAGGAUAUAACUGUCUUAGAAGUGGAGAAUGAGUUGUCUCUGCAUGGAAAAGGAGACUACCCAAGGUGGUUCAAGAAAAAUAAAACAGAGAUUUGGAUCUUUACAAAUGCAAAUCUUGUUCAAUUUAAUGGCCUCUCUUGUGAGUUCUAUAUAGCAAGCCAUUCUCUAGUACAUAAUUUAAGAAAUCUCAGGCAUCAUAGUGUUGAGACAGAUGGCAAAACCCUGCAAUGGGAUGAGGGAUGCCUUCAUAAGCUAUUGAUUCCAUUAGUGAAAUUUAAAUCUCUG
rnacentral:lncRNA from 1 species